UACGUAGGGUGCAAGCGUUGUCCGGAAUUAUUGGGCGUAAAGAGUUCGUAGGCGGUUUGUCGCGUCUGCUGUGAAAUCCCGAGGCUCAACCUCGGGUCUGCAGUGGGUACGGGCAGACUGGAGUGCGGUAGGGGAGAAUGGAAUUCCUGGUGUAGCGGUGGAAUGCGCAGAUAUCAGGAGGAACACCGAUGGCGAAGGCAGUUCUCUGGGCCGUGACUGACGCUGAGACGCGAAAGCGUGGGGAGCGAACAGG
rnacentral:rRNA from 1 species